rnacentral:rRNA from 1 species
GACGAACGCUGGCGGCGUGCUUAACACAUGCAAGUCGAACGGUAAGGCCCUUCGGGGUACACGAGUGGCGAACGGGUGAGUAACACGUGGGUGAUCUGCCCUGCACUUCGGGAUAAGCCUGGGAAACUGGGUCUAAUACCGGAUAGGACCACUGCCUGCAUGGGUGGUGGUGGAAAGCUUUUGCGGUGUGGGAUGGGCCCGCGGCCUAUCGGCUUGUUGGUGGGGUGAUGGCCUACCAAGGCGACGACGGGUAGCCGGCCUGAGAGGGUGACCGGCCACACGGGGACUGAGAUACUGCCCAGACUCCUACGGGAGGCAGCAGUGGGGAAUAUUGCACAAUGGGCGCAAGCCUGAUGCAGCGACGCCGCGUGAGGGAUGACGGCCUUCGGGUUGUAAACCUCUUUCAGCAUCGACGAAGCGAAAGUGACGGUAGGUGCAGAAGAAGGACCGGCCAACUACGUGCCAGCAGCCGCAGUAA